rnacentral:piRNA from 1 species
GAAAGAACUAGGGAAGGUUUGCUG